rnacentral:rRNA from 1 species
CAGUCGCCACGGUAACACGAAGGGUGCAAGCGUUAAUCGGAAUUACUGGGCGUAAAGGGCACGCAGGCGGUUAUUUAAGUGAGGUGUGAAAGCCCCGGGCUUAACCUGGGAAUUGCAUUUCAGACUGGGUAACUAGAGUACUUUAGGGAGGGGUAGAAUUCCACGUGUAGCGGUGAAAUGCGUAGAGAUGUGGAGGAAUACCGAAGGCGAAGGCAGCCCCUUGGGAAUGUACUGACGCUCAUGUGCGAAAGCGUGGGGAGCAAACAGGAUUAGAUACUCGCGUAGUCCCUGUCUCUUAUAU